AUACGGAGGUGGCGAAUGUUGCUCGGAAUUACUGGGCGUAAAGGGUGCGUAGGCGGUUAAUCAGGUCAAGAGUGAAAGCUAUAGGCUUAACCUGUAGAUGACUUUUGAAACCGGUUAACUAGAGUCAUGUAGGGGGUAACGGAACACCUGGAGUAGCGGUGAAAUGCGUAGAUAUCAGGUGGAACACCUGAUGGCGAAGGCAGUUACCUGGGCAAGGACUGACGCUGAUGCACGAAAGCUAGGGGAGCGAACAGAAUUAGAAACCCCGGUAGUCC
rnacentral:rRNA from 1 species